rnacentral:rRNA from 1 species
CACAUGCAAGUCGAACGAGAAUCUACUGAAAGAGUUUUCGGACAAUGGAAGUAGAGGAAAGUGGCGGACGGGUGAGUAACGCGUGAGGAACCUGCCUCGAAGAGGGGGACAACAGUUGGAAACGACUGCUAAUACCGCAUGAAGCAUAGGGGUCGCAUGAUCUUUAUGCCAAAGAUUUAUCGCUUCAAGAUGGCCUCGCGUCUGAUUAGCUAGUUGGCGGGGUAACGGCCCACCAAGGCGACGAUCAGUAGCCGGACUGAGAGGUUGAACGGCCACAUUGGGACUGAGAUACGGCCCAGACUCCUACGGGAGGCAGCAGUGGGGAAUAUUGGGCAAUGGGCGCAAGCCUGACCCAGCAACGCCGCGUGAAGGAAGAAGGCUUUCGGGUUGUAAACUUCUUUUAAGAGGGAAGAGCAGAAGACGGUACCUCUAGAAUAAGCCACGGCUAACUACGUGCCAGCAGCCGCGGUAAUACGUAGGUGGCAAGCGUUGUCCGGAUUUACUGGGUGUAAAGGGCGUGCAGCCGGGUCUGCAAGUCAGAUGUGAAAUCCAUGGGCUCAACCCAUGAACUGCAUUUGAAACUGUAGAUCUUGAGUGUCGGAGGGGCAAUCGGAAUUCCUAGUGUAGCGGUGAAAUGCGUAGAUAUUAGGAGGAACACCAGUGGCGAAGGCGGAUUGCUGGACGAUA